UCUUUCUCGCCGCCACACCGCUUCCCCUUUCUUCUAAAAUGCUACCAUACAGCAAUAGAAAUAAAAAAUAAGAAAGAAAAGAGAGAGUUCUGAGAGUGAAGCUGUGACAGGGAAGGGAGAAGAGGAGAUGGAGGAGCUGCGCCACCACUGCGGGCCUUGGGCUCGCCGUUCAUGCCCGUCACGUUGCCGCCCAGCUGCGUUCAACCCACUGCCAGUCGCCGCCAUCGUCGCCAACAACAGAGGAGAGAGAAAGAGGCGAACGCGAGGAGAGAGAGUGCAGAAGAGAGAGAGAAGCCGUGCCAGCCCCUUGCUACCGUGCCGCAUCGCCGUCCAAGGGAGGAGGAAGGCCGCCGCAGCUGUUGCGAAGCCACCGUCUCCGUUAGUUGCUCAGCCUUGUCUCUGUUUUUGGUUCCCCUUUUGUGUGCCGAAGUCGCUGCUGCCGUGAUGGUGGCCGUGGGGUUGCAUGUGCUUAAACAAAGCUGUUACUGCUGCUGCUCCAUUUCUCUGUUCUUUUCAAGUUUUAGUAAGUUGUCCUUGUUCCCAAACCCUCAAUAUUACCAUUCUGCUUCCAUGGUUGAUUGAGAAUGUUGAGAUGUUAAUAUGUUUGGGUUAUGCCAAUACCAUUACAAAUUGUUCGAUGGCAUUGCUAUUACUGAUUCGGUUUAAAGCUGUUGUUGCUGCUGCUGCGAGUUAGAACGAAGUUGGAGUCACGCCUAACCUUGUGGGUUUCGACUAACUGAGGUAACCGUGAUGCCAAGGUGUCUAAUUGACACAGUAAAGGGACCAUAUUCGGGGUUCACUCCGAGUAACGUCGGGUUGCAGUGACAGGUUCGGAGACUCAGUUUGAAGCCGCAAGCGAUUAGGAGUUUUAUUUAAGUUAAGUUUAUGUGUUGAGUUGCUUUUAUAGAAUUCCCUCGCCUUCGUUAUUUAAGAUUUUAUUUUAUACAGAGGGAUAGGAGUUUUAACUGAGUUUCUUUUGUAUUCUUUUGUAAGAUAUUUAUUAUUGUUAAUAACUACGUGACUAAUAUUUCUUGGAG